UACUAGAGUAGCACUCGCAUAUCAAUAAGCGGAGGAAAAGAAACUAACAAGGAUUCCCCUAGUAACGGCGAGUGAAGCGGGAAGAGCUCAAAUUUGAAAUCUUAAAGGGUUUCCCUUUACGAAUUGUAGUUUAAAGAAGUGUUUUCUGUUGAGGUUUUGGUAAAAGUUCUUUGGAAUAGGACAUCAUAGAGGGUGAGAAUCUCGUAUUUGACCUUUACUUUCAACUUUGUGAUACACUUUCAAAGAGUCGGAUUGUUUGGGAAUGCAGUCCAAAAUGGGUGGUAAAUUUCAUCUAAAGCUAAAUAUUGGCGAGAGACCGAUAGCGAACAAGUACCGUGAGGGAAAGAUGAAAAGAACUUUGAAAAGAGAGUUAAACAGUACGUGAAAUUGUCAAAAGGGAAGCGUUUGACACCAGUGUUGUUUUUCUGAAAAUCAAUUAAAGAACUGUUUAUGCUAAGCUGUUUAGACUUUAUCAGCUAUCCUGUUUAGUUUUGAGCUUUUCUUUAAUGCACUUUUCAGUUAACAAGUCAACAUCAAUUUCUUUUGCUGUAAAAAAGCUUGAGGAAGGUGGCUUGAGAUUCGUCUUAAGUGUUUAUAGCCUCUUGCCUAUGCAGUCGGAGAGAUUGAGGUCUGCAGCGUAGAUCCUUCGGGGCUAAAUGCAUUUGUGCUAAGUUAUAGCAUUUUAUAGACAACUUGUUGACUAUGAUUUGUCUUGUAGCUUACUCGCUUAUGUUAUUUUACCUACGCUUAGGAUGUUGAUCUACAGAGCGAGAGU
rnacentral:rRNA from 1 species